UGUUUCUGUGUACACUGUGUAUUGU
rnacentral:piRNA from 1 species